AAAUUAGUAAAUGCUACGGCAAUAACUGAGGCUAUUAAUGUUUAACAUUUUUUAUUCAUUAACCAUACUUUGAUUCUUAUCUUACAAUAUUGGCCAAGAAAACUAACUGAUCUAAGUAGUAAUGAAAAAUUGCUUUUGCAUAGGACUUUCACACAUUGUUCCAAUUUAAUAUGCUUCACAGUUUCUUUUCGGUCGGUUAAUGAGGUAAGCAUUCUGCAACAGCAACAAAUCACAAGUAAUGGGAUCAGACAAUGGAUUAUCUGGAGCUUCUGCUUAACUACAACAUCAGUUCAAUCAGGUCAAUGGCAGAUGCAAUCGCAAUGGCCCUUCACAUGGCUUUAGACCACCUGGACAACACAAACACCUAUGUCAGGAUGCUGUUCAUCGACUAUAGCUCAGCAUUUAAUACCAUCAUUCCCACAAUCCUGAUUGACGGAGUAACUGUACCAACUGGGAACAUCAGAAGGGGAAAAUGCUAACAGAAGUUACUAUCAACUUUGGAAUUUCAACCGACUGUCCGACGCUGUGGGCUGUUUGCUAUGUACAAAUUAUUAACAAUCUAAUUACAUAUGUCUUAUAUCAUUGCCAAUCAAUCCUUAAUGCUACUCCCCCUUUUAAAAGCCUGCAUAGCAAUUAAAAUAUAAUGCAGUCUUCUUUCAGUGCAGAACAAAUUUCUUUCCCACAACACAGUCCACAUUUGAUGCAGAAGUUCUUUACCAAUUUUGCAGUAAAUAAUAACCUACUGUGUGCUCAUCAGAGCCAACACUGUAGCUCAGACUCUUAUAUUAUAAAGCUGACACAACUUAGUCAAA